CCUACGGGAGGCAGCAGUGGGGAAUAUUGCACAAUGGGCGCAAGCCUGAUGCAGCCAUGCCGCGUGUGUGAAGAAGGCCUUCGGGUUGUAAAGCACUUUCAGCGGGGAGGAAGGCGGUGAGGUUAAUAACCUCAUCGAUUGACGUUACCCGCAGAAGAAGCACCGGCUAACUCCGUGCCAGCAGCCGCGGUAAUACGGAGGGUGCAAGCGUUAAUCGGAAUUACUGGGCGUAAAGCGCACGCAGGCGGUCUGUCAAGUCGGAUGUGAAAUCCCCGGGCUCAACCUGGGAACUGCAUUCGAAACUGGCAGGCUAGAGUCUUGUAGAGGGGGGUAGAAUUCCAGGUGUAGCGGUGAAAUGCGGAGAGAUCUGGAGGAAUACCGGUGGCGAAGGCGGCCCCCUGGACAAAGACUGACGCUCAGGUGCGAAAGCGUGGGGAGCAAACAGGAUUAGAUACCCGGGUAGUC
rnacentral:rRNA from 1 species